rnacentral:rRNA from 1 species
AGGACGAACGCUGGCGGCGUGCUUAACACAUGCAAGUCGAGCGGAAAGGCCCUUCGGGGUACUCGAGCGGCGAACGGGUGAGUAACACGUGAGUAAUCUGCCCUUAGCUCUGGGAUAGCUCCGGGAAACCGGGAUUAAUACCGGAUACGACUACUACGGACAUCUGUGGUGGUGGAAAGAACUUUGGCUAGGGAUGAGCUCGCGGCCUAUCAGCUUGUUGGUGGGUAACGCCUACCAAGGCGACGACGGGUA